rnacentral:rRNA from 1 species
UGUGGUGUACCAGCUUGUCAAACCCAAUCUCAUCACAUUUGAGAAGCUGAGCAGGGCUGGGUCUGGUUAGUACUUGUCUCGGAGACUGCUGGGAAUGCCAGGGGCCACCAUGG